rnacentral:rRNA from 1 species
UGGCAAAGAGGUCACACCCGUUCCCAUACCGAACACGGAAGUUAAGCUCUUUAGCGCCGAUGGUAGUUGGGGGCUUCCCCCUGUGAGAGUAGGACAUCGCUAGGC